CACAUCUGCAGAAUAGCUCUACACAGUGAAAACAAAUGAGAUGAUGGAUAGUUUCAUUACUGACAGUGAUUUUUAUUAGUCUCGCUGAUUAUUUUCUUCCUUACAUAAAAAAGGGGGCUGUGAUUCAGAAAUACAUUGCAGCAGUUUGAUAGCUGGUACUGCAGAGUUAGAGGAGAAUAAUCUUUCUUGCUGUUUGCUUCAGGUAAAAUGUGAAAUAAGAAAACUGAGACGUGUAAUAGAAGAGAAAAAUAUCACAAUGUAGAAGUUUGCCUACUUGAAAAAUUUGUAUUGGUAUGUUCCAAGGAUUGCAGUGUGUACCAGGCACAAGAAUGAGGAACUCUUCAGAAUUCUAGUUUAGCAUUUGACCCAAAUAUUUAACAACAAAAUUGAGUUUCUUCACUGAGGUAAAUUAAAUUUUACUAAACACAUGGACUGUAAAAUUGCUUUCUUUGUUUCUUUCUUUCAUGUUAGCUUGAUAAAUUAAUCUCAUACUGCAAAAGUAACUCCAUUACAGGAGAUGAUCAGGAUGCAAACAUAAAUGUAUAGAAGUAAACUAUAAGCUUAAAACUAAGCAUGCAAUUGCUUACAGAGCAAUUCUGAGCUACAGAAUUGAAUCCCAAACACUUUGUCGGAAAACACAGUCAGUUCCAUGGAUAUAAGAAAAUUCUGUCUAUACUAGGAGAAAAUGUCUCUUAAAUUACCAUAUAAAUGAAAUAUUAAAAUAUGGAAAUCAGUGAGAUUUCAAGAGUUUGUGUCUUAGCAACACAAAGUAAAAUCUUUAUUGAUAUGUUGUUCAGUUUUUAAAUUAAUCUACUACAUACUUUAGCAAAUCUACUUUCUAGACCUUCUCCAUAGUGACUGACAGCUUCAUGAGAUACAAUCAUUGUGUUAUUCUCUGUGGGAAAAUUCUCACUGUUUUCAGUAUGAUGAAAGAAUUUGGAAACAACAUUUACUGCAAACAUUGAACAAGAUGAAUUUUGCAUUGCAGAACUUUGAGUAGUACAGAACUGCUCUUCUUGAGAGGUGGACUCAACAAUUCUGUAAAUACUGAUUUUUCAUACUAUUUAAAUGUAUUAGAUAAAAAUUGAUAGCAAAAUAAAUAUUUUUGGGUGUUGCUGUAAAUAUUCAAUGCUCUUAUUCAGACAACAUUUUACACUAAAGAAUCACCCUGUCUCAAAACCUUUCUUGCAAGUUGAUAGAAACUGUACUUCACAAGAAUUUUAGAAAUUAGUAUGUUCGAGAAAGGACAUUUAAUAUCAUGCUGUUUUGUCCUUUGAAAAUCUGCAUAAGCAUACAGUCAACAAAAUCCUUCACUGAAGAUAUGAAAAAUUAACUUUAUGAUUUAUUUUAAUUACAAUUUGAAAUUGCGUCUCUGGUUCCUGUUUUGAAUAAAUCUGGUUCCAACACC